CGCGGGCUGGUGUUCUCAGAACGGGUGGAGUCGGCUUCCCCUCCUGUGCUGGGCCGAGGCGCCAGUGAGACUUCAGCCAUUGCCACCCCCCCACGCAAAGUCGUUUUUAGAGCCGCGAUCGACGCAGAGGGAGGAGAGGGGAGGUGGCUGCCUGAAAAACUGGUUGUACGUGAACCCAGCCCUGUCGCCGGGGGCAGAGGUGAUUUUGGAAAUAGCCCGCGAGUGGCUUAAGGACGUCCGCUGUGCCCUUAAUUCACAGUAAAUUUGAUUCAGCUGCUUUCUUGAGGCCACGCGCCAGAUAAUCCACAGCUGAAGAUUUUGCUGCACUACCUUGAACACAGGGGAGAUCAUGAACAUAGUCCCCAACUAGCGUAAAUUCCACAGUCGAGUUUCCCACAUGUGGGGAGUUCAGAGGGAUCAGUACAUCUGAAGUACAAUGGAAAGCCUGGCCCUGGGAGAACCACCUUCAUGAUCAGGAUAUCUUCCCUGCCAUGUUUUCUGGAAAUUAAAUGAACAAUUAGGAAGGAUGUCUCAGAACUGCCAACCCGUACUCCUGUGAACAGCAAACCUACUAACUAGAGUUAAAUACCUCUUCAUCCUUUUUUAGAUUAUGUUCACUGGACUAUGAACUCAUUACAGAAAGGCACUAAAUUACCAGCUAAGGGAGUUACGAUGAGAACUGUCAAGACAUGAAAAGAAAAAGAAAAAGAUGGCAGCAGUUGGAAUGCUAAUAAAUCAUUAUGUUCCUAUAACUCUUUAAA